GCAAUUGCAUCGCGACACGCCGUUCAUAGCAAUGAAGUACUCACCGCAUCAGGGUAAAUAUCCAAUCUGCACUCCAGUUGCAAAUUUAAUUCUCUGAGGGGCAGUUAGGUCUUUUCUCCUCAAUCCAAUUCAUAAAAACAUGACUUAAAUCAUCAUUUAGGGUAUCAUAUUCCCAAUUUCCCAAAUUUCUCUCUUAAAUAAACCCUAAUCAUCUCCCAAGUUCAUCAAAUUCAAU
rnacentral:lncRNA from 1 species